UUUGAUGAAAGUCCAGUGAGAUCUGAGAGUGAAAAGAGGAUAUAAGCGAGACUGAGGCAAUCAAGAAAGGAUGGUGGAGGCGGAGAUAGUUGAGAGAGUGAGCGUGAAAAAAAAACAUGAAAUUG